rnacentral:misc_RNA from 1 species
AACUACAAACGCAACAACCAAUCAACACUAAUGUUUCUCUUCAUACACUGCACAAGCGUCCUCAUCUAGGUUCUAAGCCGAAGCUGACGUGUUGCGUAUGCAAUGAGUAAUCUCACUGAUAAUCGUGGCCCUUCUCAUGAUAAAGAUAACAAAGGCCCAAAUAAUAUAAAACGUAAUUUCCCGAUGGAAAAUCGAGGCCGUCGACCAAACGAUGGCAACAAUUCAGACAGAGGUGUGAUGAACUUUGGAAGGCCUGGAUAUCGAGGAACACGCAUAUAUGUUGGGAAUUUACCACCUAAUUUGCAUAGCUCUGUACUGAGAGAGAAAUUUGGAAAAUAUGGAAAAAUAACAUCAAUUGAAAGUUAUCAUAACUGUGCCUUCAUUCAGUUUGAGAAAGAAGAGGAUGCAAAGGCAGCAAUAUCUGCGGAGAUGUUCUGUAUGAUAAAAGGACAGAUAAUAAAUGUAAAUCUGGCUGUUGAAAGUCAAUCUUCUGAUUCAAGUGGUAGAAAUGAAAGGUUUAAUAUGCGAGAUAAAGAGCCUUGGGGAAAUCCAGGCAUGCCUAAUCGGGAUCGAUCUCCUCUUCGCGAACCAUUCAACAGAGCUGGACCUUUAGGCAAGAAUGGAGCUGAAAUGGAGAACAGGGAGUUCUUUGAUAAUUCUAAUAAAUGGAAUGGCCCACCAAACAUUAACCAGCGUUUACAACAACCACCAGCACAGCAGCAACAACAGCCACCACAACAAGGACCAAUGGGAAAUCAAUAUUAUGAUGAAUUUCGAGAUAAUCGUUCGAGACCUGAUUCUUUUGACAGGGAAGCUAAUAACUGGACCCGUCCUCCUUUCAAUGACAAUCCUCCUUAUUCCAAUAAUGCUCCACCACAAAGACCAGCAUUUGAUGCCUCUUUAUUGAUUACAAGUCCACAGCUGAGAGACUAUGCUGAUCAUUUAAAAAGAAGAUUGGAAAAUUUCAACAUGAGUGCUGAGAUCUGUGUAAUUCCUGAUGAUUCUCCUCAAAUGAAUUUUGUGGAAGAAAAAGCUCGACAAGGAGUGUUAUAUGUCAUUAUCAUAUGUCCACAAAACGAAGUUUAUAAUUCAUUAACCUUGCAUAUAUUUCCAGGUACUCCUCAAGAGCAUAGAAAUAUGCCAUUAGCUGAUGCUAUGAAUCUUGUGGCACGCAACUUUGAACGUUAUCUCCAACAAAUGAAAGAGGAAAACAAUUCUUCAAAACCUGCACCAACUCAAGUAUUUGAUCCACCUUCAUUUGAGAUCAGAUAUUUGUUAGAUCUAUUAGCUGAUAGCCGCCAUCUCUCAAUUGAAGAAUUGGAUAAAGUAUUGCUGUAUGUCUCUAAUCGAAAGAAGAAAAUGAUGGAGAUGAACAUGCAAUCUGCUGCCACAGAAGGUGGCUGCACUUAAGGGCGUUUUUAUUCUCUAGACAACAGUACAACCUGGCCAGAGAACUCCAUAAAACAGAUGGAUGCGUAUGUAGUGCAAGAACUCAUGUACGGCAUUGACUUGAUGCAGGAGAUACUGCAAAAUUUGACGAAAAACCAUUCUGAAGGAUAUGGAGAAACCAUGUCUACCUUUACCCAGCAUCUCAUGUGACAUCAUUUUCAGAAACAUUCAUAAUUAUAUAUAAAGAAAAAAAUUCUUUUAUUUUCCAGACAUCUUUGUUAGAUGAUUCCUGUCAUUUCUGUGUAUUGAUCACCUCUUUAGGACAUUUUUGUUGUAAGAACUGUUUCCUGUCCAACUUAUUGGUUUUACUGAAAAGUUUAAAGACACCUAAAUCAAUAGGAUAAUGAGAGAAUAUCAACUGUUCAUGUAGCCAUCCAUAUCUUCUGUGGUAUUUUGUUUAAAAAAAACCUGGAAAAUCUCAUCACAUUAAACUGUCAACAUCCUAUUACUACUGUUAUCAAAUAUGAUAUCAAUCUAGUACCACUUCCAAUAACUCUAGAAUUACUAUCCCCUGUCAUUUCUGCAGAGCAAAAGGUGGCUGUGGGUUUUUUAUUAGUCUUUCACAAUGAAUUUACCAUGAUUGCAAUUUCAGGUAUGAUGUUAACACUAAACUGGGAGUUUUUGAGUUUACAGGUUUAUUCAGUUUUUAUUCUGCUGUCUUGUCUAACAAAGCUUUUGAGUAGUUCUGAUAUAUCGUUAUCAAAUUAUCUCACAGAAUACACUUGAUGUCGGAGCACAAAUGAUGUAUCCUCCAAAUCUUAAAUUUUAUUGUUCUAUAGUGAAUAAAAGUUUGGGAGGUGUUAUUCUUGAUAAAACUCCAAUAAACAAUUGGUGACUUUAAACAACCCUUCUCUAACAAUGUCUCCUCUACCAUCAUUUACUUCAAUUCCCAUUGUUUUCAAUUAUUCACUGCUUUAAUUCAUCUAAAAGUAAUUCUUAAUUUUAGAAACAAAACAAAUUUGAAUUCCAUUCAUCAAAACAUUCGAAUUAGUCUCCAGCGUCGUCAGUGUAAUGUUAUAUAGAUGUUUAGUGUUACCUCAUUCACCAACUACAUUUUCUCAGAAAAGAAAAAAACAUUGCUUUCUUCUCUUUAAUCAACAGCAAAUAUUUCGUCAGUGUAACAUCUACAGAAUUUCAACAUCCCAACAUUACUUAUCUUCAUUGUUUAUCCAUUAUAUUUAACCUAAAAAUAUUGUUUCUUGAUUUCAAAUUCAUGUUCUCAAUAAAAAGGUGGUCAUACAUUUA